UGUGUAAGUGCGGUAACGUAUUGAGCUAACCAGUACUAAUUGCUCGUGAGGCUUAACUAUAUAACGCCCAAG
rnacentral:rRNA from 1 species